AGGACACGUUGCUCCUCUAAUUUUGUUGUUGUGACUCACGAAGUCACUGAAAGUUAUCGUAAAAAGCAACGUCAGAAAAGGGGGCCGUGAGCGAGCACGCCGCCGACAAGUAGACCUCAGCUGUCAAUCGAAAAGCAAUCGAGAACAGCGUUUGAUUUGACGACUAUUCUGUAUGUUUUCCACACCAAAGCUGCUAUCAGCAGUGGAAGUGUGAUGGCUUCACAUCAGGGGGGGCAAAUUUGUUUCAGAACUAUUCACACAAAUGCAUCCGUGACUUUGUUCACUUGUUUUUCGAAAUAUAAUGGUGAUUUUCAAAAACUAAAUCCUAAAUUUCAAAGAAUAUGUGUUGACAAUAUCCACAGAUAUACUCGUAAUUUUCACACGUGUUUUCGGGUCCUCAAAUCCAUUCACGAUUUUCAAGUCGUUUUUUUUUCGAUGUGGCAUGUUCAUUUCUCAUGAUUUUGACAUCCCAUUUUCGUCCGCUAGGCGGCAGUGUUGCUGUCUCCAAUUCACGGGAACGACGUCUACCUCCGAUUUCGUUUCAAACUUGGAAAUUGAUUCAAGGAAAACGAACUUUUAACAAUUUGUUGAUUUAACACAACUCUGGAAACAAAACACGACGGUAAUUUGAUCCCUCGAGCUUGUUUUGCUUUGACACAAAGAUGUACUUUUUCUCCCGUUGGUCCGCUACUGCGACGCCGUAGAAGAUGAUGAGGUAGCAGCACACUGUGAAGGUUCUCCGUGUCAAGGCUAAACAAGCUCGAGGGAAACAAACUACAGCCGAAUUGUGUUUCCCGACUUCGAUGCAACAAAAUUAAUCAGAUUACUGGGCCAAAGGCGCAGGCGCCGGACUCUGAGGACAUGCGGAAGAGACGCCAACCUGCAUUUGGACACGUAGUAGACAAUCACAAAGCAGAGGAAAAAGUUGCAAGUUGGA